AUCUAUAAAUUGUAAUAUUUUCUCAAUACUUUGUAACUCUAGCUCAUUGUCCUCAUCUCUCUUGCUUCCCAGAAUACUUUUCCCUCCUUAUUGUGACCCCCAAAGAAUUACUCACUAAGCGAUUCCAUGAAUUUUUACUACAAAGAAAAGGAAAAGACUACUAGCAUCUAAUCGGACUUCCACAGGGAAAGAAGCCCCUCUGGUUCAACAUGCAUUGUUCCUUCUACAUACACCCUCUCUUCUGCACCUGUAUUUUUACAGAUACAUAGAAAGACUUUUUGAGAAGAGGGACAGUCCUUCAGCCAAGGACAAGAGUCCUUCAGGCUUCAGAGUUUCCUGGAGAAAUGAGCAAUCCUCUCAUUGACAUCAUUGUCUGCUCCCUAGUCAGUCAACAACUCCCUACUGUGUGCCAGGAACUGUCCUAAGCACUGGGGAUAUGAAGAAUAACAAAAAGUGCUCCUGCUCUCAAGAACCUUAUACUUUAAUGUUUCCAAUCACUAGGUGAAACUCCUAGGAAGCCCCUGGUGAGUCCUGCCUUGCUGUCUCUCCAUUACAUGCUGUACCUGGAGACUUCCCCCGCCCCCAACCUUACCCCAUGUGGUCAGGUGACUUCUGGGCAUCUGCUCCUUCCAGCAGCACCUUCCCAUACCUCCUUCUCCCCCACCCACCAGAAAAGUGAAAAUGCCUGAAAAGCACCUGGUGCAAGCUCCAAACCAAGCUGAAACACACAGAAUCCCUUCUGUCCUUUUAAAAAGUGUCCCCAGGCUGGCAAGUGGAAUCUGCUCGACCUCUGAGACCUCCUUUCAUCAUAGUCCUGAGUCUUUUACUUCCAGCUUCUGUCUUCAUCAGACCCUGGAGAUGUCAACGUGCAGAGGCAACCAAAUGCCCCCAGGCUCCUGCAAACCAGGAGAAGGAGCUUUGAAGAGGCUUAAUUCAAUUGGCCUAUACCUGGGCACACAUGAGCAUGAAGGAGACAUCUGAGGAAAACACUUUUACUGCUUAUGAAAGGGCUGGAACUUGGACCCACUGACAACCUCUCUUCAAAUCUGGAAUACGUCAGAAUGAGCUUCCCCAAAGAAUUCGUUCACAUCAACAGAAACGUGUCUAGACCCACCCGUUAUAUCUGAAAUGUCAACUCCACUAGAAUCCAUUUUAGUCUAUUAAAAAUGGAGUUAAUUUAAGUAUUUGUAAAAACAAGGUCAUGGAACCCUGGUUACAAGCCCCUGUGCUGGAGGAU